CUCAUUUAAUCAAACUUCUCCAAAUCGUUCUCCUUAUUUUUUGUUAUGCAUAUCUGGCCAUGUUUGAUAAAGAUUGAUACAGAGUGUUAGUGAUAUAGUGUUCUAGUUAAAUUAAAACGAACAUGUUAGACGCUUUAUCUCCAAAAUCGUUCUUCUUAUUUGUGUUUAGCAUAUCUUGCCCUGUGAUAGAGAGAUUGAUUUUUUUGUGUGAGCACAGAGUGUUAUUGAUAACAAUGGAAUCACAUUUUAAUUGUUUUCCGGAAGGUGACCGAAAUGCAUUCAUAAAAGCAACCAUUUUUGUUCAUUUUUUGAAUUUAUUGCAUGGAGAAGUAACUAAUCUAGGAUUUGACAAAAGUAAUGUCACUGCAAGGAAAGUUGGGGGUAAAAGCGGCCAGCCACAAAAUUAUCUUUAAGUGAUAUUUUGGAAUAGUAUGGUGAUUCUUUCGUCAAUACAUGUUCCCAUUUGUGGAAUUUACCGAUAUGGAUCAAUUCUACAUUUAACCUAUAGCUAUGUGAACCAUGUAAAAGGAAACCCCUGAAGAAAAUAUUUUCACCAGCAAACUCUUUCUUCUUGAUCAACUCUUCUUUAUUUUUCCAAAAUAUUCCAGCUUACAAACAUUGCCUGGGAUACAAUAAUUCAAUCUUUGUUUCCAACAUUGCAUGAAAGAGCUAUCAUCUAAAAACGGAAAGUGAACAUAAAAACAUGGGGUUGUUUCCAAAGUAGUUGCUAUUAAUUAGUUGGAUUACAACAAGUAACUACACCUGCUUA